UUGAACGCUGGCGGCAGGCCUAACACAUGCAAGUCGAGCGGAUGAAGGGAGCUUGCUCCUGGAUUCAGCGGCGGACGGGUGAGUAAUGCCUAGGAAUCUGCCUGGUAGUGGGGGAUAACGUCCGGAAACGGGCGCUAAUACCGCAUACGUCCUGAGGGAGAAAGUGGGGGAUCUUCGGACCUCACGCUAUCAGAUGAGCCUAGGUCGGAUUAGCUAGUUGGUGGGGUAAAGGCCUACCAAGGCGACGAUCCGUAACUGGUCUGAGAGGAUGAUCAGUCACACUGGAACUGAGACACGGUCCAGACUCCUACGGGAGGCAGCAGUGGGGAAUAUUGGACAAUGGGCGAAAGCCUGAUUCAGCCAUGCCGCGUGUGUGAAGAAGGUCUUCGGAUUGUAAAGCACUUUAAGUUGGGAGGAAGGGCAGUAAGUUAAUACCUUGCUGUUUUGACGUUACCAACAGAAUAAGCACCGGCUAACUUCGUG
rnacentral:rRNA from 1 species